CGCGGUGGUCCGAGAGCAGCACGGGCGCGAUGAGUCGGUGCACAGGUGCGAACCUCCUGAUGCUGUGGUGUGGCCCCAGAACGUGGAGCAGGUCAGCCGGCUGGCAGCCCUGUGCUACCGCCAAGGUGUGCCCAUCAUCCCAUUCGGCACCGGCACCGGGCUUGAGGGUGGCGUCUGUGCUGUGCAGGUACAGUGGGGCUCCCUCGCCCGCCCCGAGGAUGGUCCCAGCACACCUUGGCACACCUGUGGCUGCCUCUCCCGCCACACACGGCACCUUGGGUCUGCUCCCGCCCGUGGGCUGCCUGCCUCUGGGGGUCUGGUCUGGCUGCUGGGGGGACACCCGCGGGGUGUGGUCCGGGGACGUGGCCAGGUCAGAGACCCAGGUCUGCAGUGGUCUUAGCACCUGCCCCAACCAGGGCGGCGUCUGCGUUAACCUGACGCAUAUGGACCGAAUCCUGGAGCUGAACCAGGAGGACUUCUCUGUGGUGGUGGAGCCAGGCGUCACCCGCAAAGCCCUCAACGCCCACCUGCGGGACAGCGGCCUCUGGUUUCCCGUGGACCCAGGCGCGGACGCCUCUCUCUGUGGCAUGGCGGCCACCGGGGCGUCGGGGACCAACGCGGUCCGCUAUGGCACCAUGCGGGACAACGUGCUCAACCUGGAGGUGGUGCUGCCCGACGGGCGGCUGCUGCACACGGCGGGCCGAGGCCGGCAUUUCCGGUGAGCGCCCUCUGCGGGGGGC
rnacentral:sRNA from 1 species